UGAAGUCUAUAAUCUUACCUCCAGGGCUUG
rnacentral:piRNA from 1 species